UGUAACAGCAACUCCAUGUGGAAGUGCCCGCUGGUUCCAGUGGGGCUGCUGUUAUCCG
rnacentral:pre_miRNA from 1 species